rnacentral:rRNA from 1 species
CAGUCGCCGCGGUAAUACGUAGGGUGCGAGCGUUAAUCGGAAUUACUGGGCGUAAAGCGUGCGCAGGCGGUUGUGUAAGACAGGUGUGAAGUCCCCGGGCUUAACCCGGGAACUGCGCUUGUGACUGCACAGCUAGAGUAUGGCAGAGGGGGGUGGAAUUCCACGUGUAGCAGUGAAAUGCGUAGAGAUGUGGAGGAACACCGAUGGCGAAGGCAGCCCCCUGGGCCAAUACUGACGCUCAUGCACGAAAGCGUGGGGAGCAAACAGGAUUAGAUACCCCCGUAGUCCCUGUCUCUUAUAC